UUUUGGGCUUAGUUGGCUGUGGAGCACAUGAAAACUCCACAGUUAAGCGUGCUCAGAUGGAAGUAGUACCAGGAUGGGUGACUUCCUGGGAAGUCUCCACAAGAGCAACCAAAAACAAAUCCGUGAGUUCCUGGAUGGGCAACCCAUCGGGGGCAGAGCGGACAAUAUUGGUGAUGAGAGGGGCCGGAUGUUACGAAUGGUAUUAGAGCCACUCCUGUGCCAUUCGGGAUGAUGGGGGCAAACCUUAUCGAGGACGAUGAGUACCUAAGGGGGGUGAUUGUAACAAUAGGGAUACUGACUAUCAAAAGAUUAAUAGGACCAUUGUGACACCCUAGGCAAUCCCACAUCGGCCAUGGCUAGGAGAGAUCCUUGGUUCUUAAGGAAUGCCUUGCCUCUUAAAUCACCAACGCGUUUUGGGCUUAGUUGGCUAUGAAGCACAUGAAAACUCCACAGUUAAGCGUGCUCAGGUGGAAGUAGUACCAGGAUGGGUGACCUCCUGGGAAGCCUCCGUAGGAGCAACCA
rnacentral:lncRNA from 1 species